rnacentral:rRNA from 1 species
CAAGUCGAGCGAUGAAGUUUCUUCGGAAAUGGAUUAGCGGCGAACGGGUGAGGAACACGUGAAGAAUCUGCCCUCCACUUUGGGAUAACACCGGGAAACCGGUGCUAAUACUGAAUAUUGAAACAUAAGUGGCAUCACUGAGUUUUGAAAGAAUUUCGGUGGAGGAUGACUUCGCGGCCUAUCAGCUAGUUGGUGAGGUAAUGGCUCACCAAGGCAACGACGGGUAGCCGGCCUGAGAGGGCGACCGGCCACACUGGGACUGAGACACGGCCCAGACUCCUACGGGAGGCAGCAGUGGGGAAUAUUGGGCAAUGGAGGAAACUCUGACCCAGCGACGCCGCGUGCGGGAUGAAGGCCUUCGGGUUGUAAACCGCUUUCAGUAGGGAAGAAGCGAAAGUGACGGUACCUACAAAAGAAGCACCGGCUAACUAUGUGCCAGCAGCCGCGGUAAUACAUAGGGUGCAAGCGUUGUCCGGAAUUAUUGGGCGUAAAGAGCUCGUAGGUCGUUUGUUACGUCGGAUGUGAAAACCUGAGGCUCAACCUCAGGCCUGCAUUCGAUACGGGCAAACUAGAGUUUGGUAGGGGAGACUGGAAUUCCUGGUGUAGCGGUGGAAUGCGCAGAUAUCAGGAGGAACACCAAUGGCGAAGGCAGGUCUCUGGGCCAAUACUGACACUGAGGAGCGAAAGUCUGGGGAGCGAACAGGAUUAGAUACCCUGGUAGUCCAGACCGUAAACGGUGGGCACUAGUUGUGGGAACCUUCCACGGUUUCUGCGACGCAGCUAACGCAUUAAGUGCCCCGCCUGGGGAGUACGAUCGCAAGAUUAAAACUCAAAGGAAUUGACGGG